GUUCAGCUGCCUAGCAAGGUAAAACCACCACAGAUGCACAUGUAGCAACAGCCACCUGGUUAGUCUGCCAAUUGAGCUAGCCCUGCCCAAUCAAAAUUCCUACACACACAGAAAGGGAUAAAGUCCUUGCAGUGCAUAUAUAAGAAAACAAACAAACAAAAAACAGCAAACACCUACUGGGCAAGACGGUCUGACUUAUUCCUGCCUCAGGCAAAGGCAAAGCCAUCCGUGGGAUUGCUUUUGCUCAAGGACCUGGGUGCACUUGGCGGGUAAUGCAGAAGUAUGGGGCAGUCUGAAAACCCUCCAGGGUGUCUGGGGUGAGAAUAGGCAGUCCUUUGAGUUGUUCAGUGUUAGUUGCUGUAUAAUGCUGUAUGUCAUCUGCAGUUGCUAUAUGUCAACCAAGCAGCAUUACAGGAAGAGUUGCUCGGAUUAACGAAGAAUGACAGCACAUGCACAGACAUGCGGGGCUUUCCUUGCAUGCAGGGAUCACUGUGCCCGCGCGCAUACACGCCCACCCACCCCAGCUUUCGGCAAGUCCUCCCCCACCCGGCCUCAGCACGCAGGCAGCCCUGCUGCCCGGGACUUCCACGAUCCUAGGGACUCCUGCUUGCACUCACCUUCUUCCUUGCCGUAGCCCCAGCAACGCCCAGUAACCUCACCAUGCUCCAAGGUUUCUCUUAAGACCUUUCCGGACCCAGCUUGGCUGCCCCAAGCAGCAAAGGGGCCGCAAGGCAGACCAACUGCAACUACAGCCUCUUCCUCCUCCACUAGCCCCACAGUUGCCACCUGCACCCAGGUGCAGCCCUUUUACAAGGAGGGGCUGCUACUGAUCACCACCCUCAUUGGCCACACCUGGGGCUCCAGUGACUGGGGGUCCAGUGACAGGUUUUUAUCAUCUUUUCCUAAUCUUCCCAAAUGUGCCAGUUCUCUGGGAUUAAACUCGUCUUUCCGCACACAAGCUUUACUAUUUCAGAUUAUUAAUGAGCCCCGUUCCAGUCAUAAAUCCACAGGACUUCAGGAAAACACCUGAAGCACCCAGCCCCCCGUCUUUUAGACAAACAAUACCACCUUUUCCACAAAAUUUGCAUUCCAACGGGACCGAAUUUCAAGCCGAAUGGCAAUUUUUCUCAUGCACUUUGUUAGUAAGCCCACACGAAACAAGGAAUCACUCCUACGUAUCCGUCAAUAUGGGGGUUUAAAAAGGUAUUGAGGCCUAAGUAAAUUCGCCCUCCCCCUUUCUUACCAAAUUCCCAGGGCUCAAGCCCGAACCACCAAAGAAGUGACUCUCUCUGUUCUACCGCUUUGAUAAUCAGUCAGCCCCUCUCCCCCGAUACUUGGGAAACCGACCAAACACCGCAGUGAAUAUACCCAAACUUCUGAACUGUUACCUAGAUAAUGCUCCCGCCUUCCUCCUUGUCACACUCAAAGCAUUUAAGA